CGGGACGUGGCGCAGUUUGGUAGCGCACUUGACUGGGGGUCAAGGGGUCGUGGGUUCAAAUCCCGCCGUCCCGACCG
rnacentral:tRNA from 2 species